UACAGAGGGGGCAAGCGUUGUUCGGAAUUACUGGGCGUAAAGGGCGCGUAGGCGGCCUGUUAAGUCGGACGUGAAAUCCCCGGGCUCAACCCGGGAACUGCGUCCGAUACUGGCAGGCUUGAAUCCGGGAGAGGGAUGUGGAAUUCCAGGUGUAGCGGUGAAAUGCGUAGAUAUCUGGAGGAACACCGGUGGCGAAGGCGGCAUCCUGGACCGGCAUUGACGCUGAGGCGCGAAAGCCAGGGGAGCAAACGGGG
rnacentral:rRNA from 1 species